UAACAACAUAGAAAUGCCUGCCCUAUUUAAGCCGUGCUAUGUGAUUUCCUGUCUCUGUGCAGUGUGCGAUCAUAACUAUAACUGGCGCUGUCAUUCCGAGCUGCUUUACCAAUAAAUUCAAGGGAGCCAGGAUGGACUCCAGGUCUCUCCGUCUUCCCUUUUGCCUGUCCACUUCUAGCCCCAGGGCGUCCGCAUCCUCGAUUUCAUCAUCCUCCUCGACGUCAGUUGGCUCCAGCAGGUUAUACAGCCGGGAGACUCUGCCUCAACAUGACCGCUUUCCGAGGGCAUCAUCCACUUACAAAGUAGACGUCGACCAAAAGAGGUCUCACCUGCUGAGUUCGUCCAGAGACUACAACAGCGCUGACUUCCGUAGUAGCGGCAGUAGCAGCAGGAAGUUUCUCACAUCUUCCACCCGCUCUUAUGACCAUCCAUGGGCAGAAUCCUCAGUCAGCAGCAGGACUAAAGUGGUACUGAAGCACCAACAAGUUCUUGUGUUUGGAGGACAGACUGACAUGGAGAGUAGGUUUGGCCGUCCCAGUCUGUUGACCAGUACUGAUGAUGGAGACAAUAAGCAAGCCAAACUGACUAACAGCAACAGAGGACUGUACUCAAAAACUUCCAGCACCUCACUUACAGGAUCCACCUACUCGAGUAGUGGGUUUAGCACUACCAAAGGUAUUAAAGAGAAACACAGCAACAGCGAUAUGUCAUGGAGCUCAAGCCAUUUUCUGUCACGGUCUUCAGCUUCCUGCUCAAAGACCCCAUUGUCAAGCAGAGAGGCAGAGACGCCCAAUGAGCCGGGACUGUCGGGGCUGCGUGAUCGAAGGACGAGAAUCCAGGAACUGACGUCUUCAUUGUAUCAGACAGACCGCCUGACAUCCACUUAUGCCCAAGGAGCUCGACCCAAAGACUCUGCCUACUUAUCUUGCUCUUUCACUGCUGAGCGAAAAAGCUCCCCUGGCGGUCAGGCGGCCUCCACCCAUCGCUCCUCUACGCCACGUGACUACAACAACCGACCCUCGGCGCGGUUUUUGAACGCCUCAUCCAGCUCUGCCUCAUUUCAGGAACAGCCUUCAUCCCGCCGACCGAAAGCCCAGCUCUCUCAGAGACCUACCCAUGAAGAUGGCGACUCUCAAUGGCGUACCUCCACGCGGCACCUCUUAUCCCGCCUCUUCGCAUCUCACUCCAGCCAAGACUCCCCCUCCUCCAGUAGCUCAUCCAGUGUUCGUUCGUUUGAUGAUGACAGCCUGUCUUUGGACAGCGACGAGGGUACCAGGAUAUCUGGGGAUGCGGAGAUAGCCUCUCAUAGUUGGCAGCCGAAUGCCGCCGGAACCAGGCAGCGCAGAGUGGACCUCUCCCCGAUUUUAGAGGAUAAAGACUGUGGAGUAGCUGGAGCCAGGGUGACUUUGCCCAGAGAGCCUGAAGUAGGGAGCAGACAGGCGGCCAGUAGCGGAAACUCCUGGCUUUCUUCUUCCCUGCGGAGCCACUGCCCUUCUCUCCUCCCUCGUUUUCGUAGACGCACACAGGACGAGAGUGGGCACUCAACUGCCGGCCAAAGCCGUCCUCAACACUUGCUGAGAAGAUUGGACGACCUGGAACGGAGAGUGCCUCAGAAUGACGAAGAGGACGAUGAUGAAGAGGAACAAGGGGCGGUGGCUUCGAAUCGCUAUGGGGCUGCCCGUCCUCGCAGGCAAGAGGAAGACAAGUUACCCCAAAUGGAGGAAACUUUAGUGGGCUUGGCACUGGGUCGGAGGGGAGCUCCACUCCAAAACAGAAACGGGGCCACCGCACCACAAGAUGGUGCUGAGAGGAUGCUGGAUGCUGCAGCGAGCAAACAAGAGAAGCUCCGCAUUAUUAAGGAGAGACUGAUGCUGGAAGAUUCCGACGAGGAUGAAGGAGACCUGUGCCGAAUUUGCCAUAUGCGAGAGGAGUCUGCGUCCAACCCAUUGAUUCAACCAUGCCGAUGCACAGGAAGUCUGCAGUACGUCCACGAGGAUUGCAUCAAGAGGUGGCUCUGCUCCAAAAUUGGGUCAGGCACCAACCUGGAAGCCAUCACCAAGUGUGAACUCUGCAAGGAGAAGUUGCGCUUGAACAUCGACAACUUUGAUUUCCAGCAGCUGUACAGGACACAUGCGCAGUUUAAAUACGACGACUUCAUCAGCAGUGGUCUCUAUCUGGUGGUCCUGUUGCAUUUUUUUGAACAGAGGUUUGCUGAUGUCCUGGGAGCAAUCUAUGCAGCUGGGUGUUUUUCAGAAAACAAGGAAGGGAGGGGAAAAACACUUCAACGAACAGUAUUUACCUCAGUUCAACCUUUGCCAUAAUCUGGAGGCCUGUAUUUACUUACGUUUUUAAGUUUGAACAAGAGACGCUGGUGCUAUUCGGAUUUCGGCAUGUGUUCUAAUUAAUAGCUAUUCAGAAAGAAAUCCACUUGUUGCUGUACCUAACCCUAGAUUCAUAAAUAUUGUUCAAUGUAUUACCAUAUCAAAAAAAAUGGGGCAGGUUUGGUAUCUGCGCAAAAAAAUUAGAAAGAUUUACUUGCAUCUCUGAUUAAAAAGAUUUAGUGCAAAUUUGUUGACCAGUGUCCCUCACACGCCUAUAAAUUCAUGUUGCAACACGUGUAAACGUAUUAAAACACACUUUAAUUAUAUUCUUUAGCUUAGUGCCUAUUCUCGUCAAGAAGUGAGACACUAUCGUGUAACAACACUUGUAGGAGAUGAAGACGCUUUUUGGAGGCAGCGUGUGCUUGCCCUCCAUAGUUGAAGUUGACUGUAAAAUGUCAAAAGAAAAUUCAAUGUCUAAUGAAACACCAAUACGUAUGAUUUCCUUUUAUGAAAGUCGGUUAGCUUAAUGCUAACGUAAUACAAAACGCCAUGUAUGGAAUAACGCUAGCAUUGGUGUUAACGUUUAAGAGGACGGCCCCAUAAUAAAUUGAAACUGUCAAUGACGCCCACGCUGCGCGUCCUGCAGUCGGUUUGGAGCUAGGUGUGCAGGAGGUGCGAACACGCUCUGAGCAGCAACGCAUACAACAAGAGGAUUAGACAUUUUGUAGAUGCAGUAUCAACACCAACAACAUGCUACAGAUGAGGCGAACAGAAACGAGCUGAGAAUGUAAUUUUAAAAUAGUUUUCAUUGUCCCUCAAAAUCAUUUGACUUGAUAGCAUCACACAAAAGUGUACAUCCAAUGACUAUUGGUCACAGGCAUAUAUGCGUAUGCUCUGGGAAAAUGAUGACUGCCUUUUCUUACUCUUAAUUACACCUCGUUUCCCAGCAGCGAAGGCACACAAUUCCCAAUUUGGACUUGCCUGUGUACUAAAAAACUGAAAAACGAUAGCUUAAAAUUCUGCAAUGUAAUGGGACUUCACUGUAUUGUGCAGUUGACUGCUCUCUAGUGUGUGAAUCACAAGCAGCAGAGUGAAACUUGGAAGCAUUUGACUGUUUAUAGCAAUGUUAGUUUUGAAAAGAGCCAAUUGUUCCCUCUUCCCAUCCAGUCAUUUAACCUGGUGAGAAUUCUUCCAGAACACAUGGACAACCUUGAAAAUCCUCCCGAGGAGAGAAACUACAGGGACCAAGAUGGCCGACCUUAUAUAGACUUCUCCGAUCUGGACGAGGAAUACUGAUAAUCAUCAGCUUGCGGCUCACGGAAAGGUUUUGGAGCAUUUCUUUGAUAUCCUUGACAUUGUCGCUGUCGGGCGGAAUCCUCGCAUUUCCAAAAUCACUAUUUGGGAAAUUAAAAAAACAAAACUAAGCACUGUACAUUGUUGAAAUCAGUAUUACACCUCGUACCUACUGACGCGCAUGACACACCACCGUCCUCAAAUUCUCGUCAACCACUAAGCUAAUACGCUAAAAAAAAACAAAAAUGAAUUUACUUUUUACUAUUUUCUGACCAGGAAAAAAAGCCUUCAGUACUUCACAACAAUAAAUGACUGUUAUGUCACAUUCUCAAACAUGUUUAAAAGGUAAUGGACAUCAGUGAGGCACGUUGAAAAGUCGCUUAAUUAUCUGCAGACUUUUAUGACGGUGUGUCGCUGACCAGUUUUUUGUGCGCAGAAGCGUGACGGCCAUCCGUUUCUAACAAAACGGGCUUCCUCAAAUGUAUGUAGCAUAACUACAGUCACUCAUUACCUUAAAAUAAACGAAUGGAAUUUCAGUCUUGAGGCGACAUAAUGUGGCACGGCUCCUGUUGAGUGAAGUUAGUUUUCCCUUCUCACACUUGGUGUCCCAGAACAUGAAUAGAUUAGCUCUAAAUUUACUUGGGUGUAAUUGCAACUCAAUGUGCAGAAAGCCAAAAUAGGAUCCAAUUUGUGGAAAAAUAAGAACUUGACCAUAUUUGAAAAUACGAGAUUUGCGCCCGACAACCACGAAAAAUACUAUGCUCUUUUUUUCAAGAGUGGGACAUUUACAUGUUACCAGUGAGGGGAAAAUUAUGCACUAGUUGAUAUCUGCUCACUACGGAUGACAUUUAAAAAAUUGAACUACUUCACGUCUAGCGCUUUGGUAGUUGUACUACUAGUGCAUAGACCUCGACUAGUGCAGUUUUGCCUCAUUCAGGUGGUUGUCCUAUGAGUGUGCAGAAAUUUAAUCCAGUAAUGAAAAAAAUGUAACUAGUAAGACACAAACGUUCUACUAGUGCACCAAAUUGUCUCACUUGUGAAGACGAAUGUCCUUGUACAUAGCAUUAAAGGUUGGAUAGCAAGGAUAAGCAUUAAAUACUUUGUUUUGGCUUUGAUUGCCUACUCUGCAAUUGGCCUUUUUAUUUCCACAUAUGCAAAUUUCAACUGAAUUGGUGUGAAAUCUGUUGCUUAAGCACAUUGUUUUGUUUGUAUGAGAGUGCACUUUAUUCAGUAUAGUUCAAUACAAAUGCAACCGCAAGUGCUUUAAUGUUAGUUUUUUUUUGUUUAUUAAAUUUUUUUGGGCGGGGGGCUUUUUGUCGUGCAAGGGUGUCCAGCUAUCAUUGUAUUCACGUCAGUGUUCAAAGGAUACGUUUUAAAGAUAAACUGAAUUUGACUUGUUCAAUUAUUGAAAUAAAUUUUGAAAAGCUA